rnacentral:rRNA from 1 species
GACGAACGCUGGCGGCGUGCUUAACACAUGCAAGUCGAACGGAUCAGGGAGCUUGCUUCCUGGUUAGUGGCGAACGGGUGAGUAACACGUGAGCAAUCUGCCCUUGACUCUGGGAUAACUGCGGGAAACUGUAGCUAAUACCGGAUAUGACAGCCGACGGCAUCGUCUGGUUGUGGAAAGAAUUUCGGUCAGGGAUGAGCUCGCGGCCUAUCAGCUUGUUGGGAGGUAAUGGCUCACCAAGGCGACGACGGGUAGCCGGCCUGAGAGGGUGACCGGCCACACUGGGACUGAGACACGGCCCAGACUCCUACGGGAGGCAGCAGUGGGGAAUAUUGCACAAUGGGCGAAAGCCUGAUGCAGCAACGCCGCGUGAGGGACGACGGCCU